rnacentral:rRNA from 1 species
CUACGGGGGGCACCAGUGAGGAAUAUUGCACAAUGGGGGGAACCCUGAUGCAGCAACGCCGCGUGGAGGAUGACGCAUUUCGGUGUGUAAACUCCUUUUAUAUGUCAAGAAAAUGACGGUAGCAUAUGAAUAAGCGCCGGCUAACUCCGUGCCAGCAGGCCGCGGUAAUACGGAGGGCGCAAGCGUUACUCGGAAUCACUGGGCGUAAAGGACGCGUAGGCGGGUUGAAAAGUCAGGUGUGAAAGCCUACAGCUUAACUGUAGAACUGCACUUGAAACUCUCAAUCUAGAGUAUGGGAGGGGCAGAUGGAAUUAGUGGUGUAGGGGUAAAAUCCGUAGAUAUCACUAGGAAUACCUAAAGCGAAGGCGAUCUGCUGGAACAUUACUGACGCUAAGGCGUGAAAGCGUGGGGAGCAAACAGGAUUAGAUACCCCUGUAGUC